UGCGGAAUAGAGCAGUGGUAGCUCGCUAGGCUCAUAACCUAGAAGUCGGGUGGUUCGAAUCCCCCUUCCGCUA
rnacentral:tRNA from 1 species